rnacentral:rRNA from 1 species
GUCCACGCUGUAAACUAUGGACACUAGGUAUGGGGAGUAUCGACCCUUUCCGUGCCGAAGCUAACGCGUUAAGUGUCCCGUCUGGGGAGUACGGCCGCAAGGCUAAAACUCAAAGGAAUUGACGGGGGCCCGCACAAGCAGCGGAGCGUGUGGUUUAAUUCGAUGCAAAACGAAGAACCUUACCAAGGUUUGACAUGCUAGAAGUAGUGAACCGAAAGGGAAACGAACUGUCAAGUCAGUAGCUAGCACAGGUGCUGCAUGGCUGUCGU